AAAAGAAACCAACUGGGAUUACCUUAGUAACGGCGAGUGAAGCGGUAAAAGCUCAAAUUUGAAAUCUGGUACUUUCAGUGCCCGAGUUGUAAUUUGUAGAAUUUGUCUUUGAUUAGGUCCUUGUCUAUGUUCCUUGGAACAGGACGUCAUAGAGGGUGAGAAUCCCGUUUGGCGAGGAUACCUUUUCUCUGUAAGACUUUUUCGAAGAGUCGAGUUGUUUGGGAAUGCAGCUCAAAGUGGGUGGUAAAUUCCAUCUAAAGCUAAAUAUUGGCGAGAGACCGAUAGCGAACAAGUACAGUGAUGGAAAGAUGAAAAGAACUUUGAAAAGAGAGUGAAAAAGUACGUGAAAUUGUUGAAAGGGAAGGGCAUUUGAUCAGACAUGGUGUUUUUUGCAUGCACUCGCCUCUCGUGGGCUUGGGCCUCUCAAAAAUUUCACUGGGCCAACAUCAAUUCUGGCAGCAGGAUAAAUCAUUAAGAAUGUAGCUACUUCGGUAGUGUUAUAGCUUUUUGGAAUACUGUUAGCCGGGAUUGAGGACUGCGCUUCGGCAAGGAUGUUGGCAUAAUGGUUAAAUGCCGCCCGUCUUA
rnacentral:rRNA from 1 species